UGGGAGCUUGAGGAGUCAUUGCGGAGUGAGUAUCCGCAUCUAUUUGAGUCGACAAGUUAAGGUAUGCGUAAUUUCGCGGAUGAAAUUAUUUUAAGGGGUGGAGAAUGUAAUAUACUGAGAAUUCAAAAAUUAAAUAUCGAACUAUAGUCAGAUUGACCAAAGUGCGAGGAUGGUACACUUCGGAAAGUCCGAAGGUGUUAAAGUGAGUAAAAGUGCAAUGUGGGAGGUUUUCGAGAGUUAAAGAAUCAAAAAUCUGCAAACAACAGUUUUUGAGCACUCGGGGACCGGUCCCUGGAGGGAGAGACCGGUCCCCGAACACGUGAAAACUGAGCAACUGAAAAAU
rnacentral:lncRNA from 1 species